UUCCAGUUUUUACAGAUUUCCAGUCAGUUUUCAACUUUCAAUGAAAAGAUUUUUGUGGCUAUCAAGUGCAGAUCUGCCGAUUAAUUGGAUAUGGAGAAAGAGAGCACCAGCAGAAGUAUCAAGAUCAAGGGUGGUAUAUUUGGUAAUAAUUUCAGUAAA